AUGGCGGCGGCAGGAGUUGUCUGUGAUCGAUCCGGGGCUGUUGUUCGCGAAGGAGGCUUCUGGAAUCAGAAUCGGAAGCGUGCAUGGUGUAUCUUGUGGAUGUUGUGGUCAUUGUUGAUGUGUUUAGAUGGAGAAUGGUUGUUAUCGAAAUUUUAUGAAAGGUUAUGGUUGGAUUUUGAACAAUUGAUGGUUAUAAACAAAGAUGUUGGAGGGUCUUGGUAA